UAUGAGGCUCUGGGAAGCCUAAUGAGGUAAGAGCAUGAUGAUGACUCUGACAGAAACUCCAACUCUAUGUGGGAAUGAUACAAGGAUGGCUGAGUAUAUUUUAGUACCUGUCUCUUUUUCCUGUCGUUCCUCAGGGAAGGAAGCAUGUUCUUCAGAACACUUCUGAAUUGGCCAGGCAUCCUAUCAGCAGCAAAGUAGAUGGUCUUCAUCACAGUGUCGGGGAAGAACCCAUUGUCACCAAACAGGGCCUCAACAGUUGGAUCAAGUCCCUUGCCCUCCAUACCAAUCUGAAAGCACAAUACACAUUUAGUUGGAGCAACAAUCAUUGUAACUACACAAUUUCAGACUAAAAAAGCACCUUUUUUUAUUCAUACCUCAAACAUGUCCACAUCAUAGCCAAAGGCAUUCAAUGUCAUCUCUAGCAUGACUUCCUUUGGCAUUUUGCUAUCGCCCUCAAAGAUCAUGUUUCCCUCCAGGGAUCCGACCUUGUAGUUACCGGAGAACUUGGUUGGGUCCAUGACAGUUCCAACCUCAUUGCCCUGGAGGGCAUCAAGGAUCUUCUGUCUCAGCCUGUACAAGCAAAACAGAUGUGCAGUGGAGCUCAGGAUGUUGGUGACAUGAGAGAUCACAAAGCUCUUGGCCUGUUGGUUCUCCUCAACUGGGAGGGCAGCAGCCAGCUGAGACAGUUCAGAGGGCUGAGGGUCCUUCAUCAGCACCAGGUAGGCAGCAACACGUUUCUGCAGUGGGGCAGCACCGUCCAAAAGGACCUGCAUGAGCACCUCUCUGCCCUGUAAGGCACAAAGGAAAAGUGAUUAGAGAUCCUCAGAAUGAAUGCUGUCUAUGUAAGAAAGGUCUAGAAAAUUCUGGGUUACCUCCUCAGGCAGAGUGGUCUGUCUGUAGGCCUGGAUGGCAGCAAGCUGAACCUCUGGAGUGGCAGCAGGCUGGUUCACACACUGGAUCACAGCAGAUUUCAGGGCAGGGCUGGCAGCCCCCAUAGCAGCAGCCAUGUUACCAAUAACCUGAGAGACAAAGCGACCCAUAAUCACUUACCAAAACUAUCAACAGCAUGUAGAGUAAAUAAUAGCGCCUGCUAAUGCUCUAACACUAGCUACAUAUUACUGCAACACACCUUGAGGGACAUGAAAAUGUGCUCCUGGUCACCAGUGCAGUCUCCAAUCUGCUCCAGGGCAAAGUUGGCAACAGCCUCAAUCUCAGGAGUGACCUUACCCUCAGCCUUGUACAGUCUGUGGAUGGACAGGGCGGUUAUUCAACAUUUCUCAAUCUUUAAAUCACAAUUAAUCCUGUUAGGGGAACCUUGGACAUUGUCUUACCUCUUGACGGCAUUACUGGCACCAUAGAAAAUGGGCUUGCUCUGCUUGAACUUGGCCAUCUCCAGCAUGUCGUAGACGAGCUGGCGAGAUGGGUUGGGUAGCAGACCCAUGGCGUAGACGGUGGCAUCAAUCUCCAUAGAAGAGCUGUCGAAGGUCCUGAGGAUCUGCAUGAUGGCGCUGCUGCACUCGGGGGUACCGCACUGGAACAGAGCCUGGUAGGUCAGGGAGCGAGAGAUUUCCAGGGCCUCGGGCACGCCAGCAGCCAGGGUCUCUGCAGACAUCUUGCGGAUCAUGCUCACGAUCUUGCGGGCCAGGUGGGCUCUCUUGUGUCCAUUCUCGGUCUUUGAAAGGCCAGCCAGUUCAGUUAGGAGAGCGAGAGCAGCAUCUUUGUCCUGAAUUGGGCUCUUGUCCACACUGGCAUGUGGGUGCAGGGUCUGCUCAUUGGCCAGAACUACAAAUCAAACAGGCAAAUGUGUUAUGUCCAUACAUCAUCUCUUGUGAAGGCAAUGUAUUUGACAGACCUCAAAUAUAUUCAUCAACAGUUUUCCACCUUCAAUACAAAGUCAAAGUAGAUGUCUUACUGGGGUCAAAGACUCUGUCAUUGUGCUCAGUCACUCCCAGGAGAGUGGCCUUCUGUUUGCUGACGUUGGUAACUCCAUUUUUACCCCUGUAGAGAGGAUGAGUGUUAAAUCACAGUCUAAAACAGGAGAGUUGUCUUGAAAUGAUUGACUCAUCUAUACACUAACUGACUCUCGGACGUACUUGUGCGAGAAAGGCACCAGGAUGUGGUUCUCAGUGCAUUCACCAGAGACUGGGUGGUGCUCUGCGUUGUCAAACUGGUAGUUGCAGGUCUGGGUGCUCCUGAUCAGCUGGCUAAGAGGGUAGUUCUAUUGGAGAGGUGAGAGACAUGGUAUGAAACACUGAUGCAUAUUUCACAAAAUCGUGCACACUAGAAUCUUUAUUAACUCUUCACAAACUACCCAUGAGAUCACAUUUGAUUUAAAAAUUUGUAAGGAUGAAACGGUCAAAUCGUGCUGUGCUCCCUCCUGAAAUCUUUUGUUUGUUUAUUUGUUUGUCUAAGCAGUUGUCAUAGUGACUCACCAUGCCAGUGAUGAGGGCCAGGGGGCUGGUGUGGUCGCUGACUGGCUUGAAUUGGUCACAGCUGGACAGGUCUCGUGUGAGGGUCACGUCUGUGGCAAUGUCCUCUCUGGCAUUCACAGUGUAGCCAGUCUUGCACAAUCCAUAGAUGGUGGGCUGUCAGGGUGGGAAGACAUCUUGAUUUGUGGAGGAAUGCAUGAAGCUUGCCAUAAUCUCCCUCUCUUUUAAGUAUCUUAUUAUUUUCCAUUUUCAUCUAAGAUGCAUCUGUGUUUUAGCACAACUUGUGUGUGUUAAUGCGACUAUGACUCUGAUAUGACUGAAAUGCUUGCUAACGAUAUUUGCAUACCAUUAUCUUGUUCUUCUCCUCCUCCAGAACAGGUACAGCAAAGGCAGAGAUGAUUCCUCUCUUGAUGUUGAGGAUGUUGAUUGGCUCAUCGUCCUCAGGGAACAGCUUAAUGUCAUUGUCACCUUCAACAGUGACCUUCAGAGGGUUCCUGUGUGGAGAACAUUAGUAGUUAUGUUACCUGUUGAUCAAUUGAUCAAUUACAGUUGUUGUGUUUUAACACAAAUCAAAAUACACAAUUGUCUGCAUUUAAGGAAAAGCACAGUAUAAUAUCACUGAUGGUGUGUGUUAAUCAAAUUAAGAUCAAACAUGGCUUCAUUUUAC